AUGUUGCCGACUGGCGUCAAGUUCGAUCCCACGGAUCAAGAGUUGGUCGAGCACCUUGAGGCCAAAGUGAGUGCUGACAGCGCGAGAUCUCACCCUCUCAUCGAUUUGUUCAUACCAACCAUCGACAACGAGCAUGGCAUAUGCUACACCCAUCCUGAGAAACUUCCAGGUAUCACACUGAGUGGCCUAAGCAAGCAUUUCUUCCAGCGCAAUUCCAGGGCGUUCAAAAGGGGCACGUGGACGCGUCGCAAGAUAAAGUCGGACAAAAAGGUUCUGGUGUUGCACACCAACAAGAACUUCGACCAGCAAAGGACCAACUGGGUGAUGCACCAGUACCACCUUGAGGACCUAGAUCAAGAGAAGGAGCGGGAGCUGGUCCUCUGCACCUGA
rnacentral:rRNA from 1 species